rnacentral:rRNA from 1 species
GAUGAACGCUGGCGGCGUGCCUAAUACAUGCAAGUCGAGCGAACAGACGAGGAGCUUGCUCCUCUGACGUUAGCGGCGGACGGGUGAGUAACACGUGGAUAACCUACCUAUAAGACUGGGAUAACUUCGGGAAACCGGGGCUAAUACCGGAUAAUAUAUUGAACCGCAUGGUUCAAUAGUGAAAGACGGGUUUGCUGUCACUUAUAGAUGGAUCCGCGCCGCAUUAGCUAGUCGGUAAGGUAACGGCUUACCAAGGCAACGAUGCGUAGCCGACCUGAGAGGGUGAUCGGCCACACUGGAACUGAGACACGGUCCAGACUCCUACGGGAGGCAGCAGUAGGGAAUCUUCCGCAAUGGGCGAAAGCCUGACGGAGCAACGCCGCGUGAGUGAUGAAGGUCUUCGGAUCGUAAAACUCUGUUAUUAGGGAAGAACAAAUGUGUAAGUAACUAUGCACGUCUUGACGGUACCUAAUCAGAAAGCCACGGCUAACUACGUG